rnacentral:tRNA from 1 species
AGUAAGAUGGCUGAGCUUUAGGCGAUAAACUGUAAAUUUAUUUACGAAAUAAUUAUUUCUCUUACUA